rnacentral:rRNA from 1 species
AACGAACGCUGGCGGCAUGCCUAACACAUGCAAGUCGAACGAGACCUUCGGGUCUAGUGGCGCACGGGUGCGUAACGCGUGGGAACCUGCCCUUAGGCUCGGAAUAACUCCCCGAAAGGGGUGCUAAUACCGGAUAAUGUCUUCGGACCAAAGAUUUAUCGCCUUUGGAUGGGCCCGCGUUGGAUUAGCUAGUUGGUAGGGUAAAAGCCUACCAAGGCGACGAUCCAUAGCUGGUCUGAGAGGAUGAUCAGCCACACUGGGACUGAGACACGGCCCAGACUCAUACGGGAGGCAGCAGUGGGGAAUAUUGGAAAAUGGGCGAAAGCCUGAUCCAGCAAUGCCGCGUGAGUGAUGAAGGCCUUAGGGUUGUAAAGCUCUUUUACCCGGGAUGAUAAUGACAGUACCGGGAGAAUAAGCGCCGGCUAACUCCGUG